UGGGGAAUAUUGCACAAUGGAGGGAACUCUGAUGCAGCGACGCCGCGUGAACGAAGAAGGCUUUCGAGUCGUAAAGUUCUUUUAUAUGGGAAGAUAAUGACGGUACCAUAAGAAAAAGCCCCGGCUAACUACGUGCCAGCAGCCGCGGUAAUACGUAGGGGGCUAGCGUUGUCCGGAAUCACUGGGCGUAAAGGGUUCGCAGGCGGAAAUGCAAGUCAGGUGUAAAAGGCAGUAGCUUAACUACUGUAAGCAUUUGAAACUGCAUAUCUUGAGAAGAGUAGAGGUAAGUGGAAUUUUUAGUGUAGCGGUGAAAUGCGUAGAUAUUAAAAAGAAUACCGGUGGCGAAGGCGACUUACUGGGCUCAUUCUGACGCUGAGGAACGAAAGCGUGGGUAGCAUACAGG
rnacentral:rRNA from 1 species